AGUGAACGCUAGUGGCGUGCUUAACACAUGCAAGUCGAACGGACGAUAUUUGUGCUUGCACAAAUAAAGUUAGUGGCAAACGGGUGAGUAACACGUGGAUAACCUACCUAUAAGACUGGGAUAACUUCGGGAAACCGGAGCUAAUACCGGAUAAUAUAUUGAACCGCAUGGUUCAAUAGUGAAAGACGGUUUUGCUGUCACUUAUAGAUGGAUCCGCGCCGCAUUAGCUAGUUGGUAAGGUAACGGCUUACCAAGGCAACGAUGCGUAGCCGACCUGAGAGGGUGAUCGGCCACACUGGAACUGAGACACGGUCCAGACUCCUACGGGAGGCAGCAGUAGGGAAUCUUCCGCAAUGGGCGAAAGCCUGACGGAGCAACGCCGCGUGAGUGAUGAAGGUCUUCGGAUCGUAAAACUCUGUUAUUAGGGAAGAACAAAUGUGUAAGUAACUAUGCACGUCUUGACGGUACCUAAUCAGAAAGCCACGGCUAACUACGUGCCAGCAGCCGCCGUAAAAC
rnacentral:rRNA from 1 species